rnacentral:rRNA from 1 species
GCGUGAGUGAAGAAGGCCUUCGGGUUGUAAAACUCUUUCAGUGGUGAAGAUGAUGACGGUAACCACAGAAGAAGCUCCGGCUAACUUCGUGCCAGCAGCCGCGGUAAUACGAAGGGGGCGAGCGUUGUUCGGAAUCACUGGGCUUAAAGCGUACGUAGGCGGCUAUUCAAGUCAGAAGUGAAAUCCCGGGGCUUAACCCCGGAACUGCUUUUGAAACUAGAUAGCUAGAGUCCCGGAGAGGUUAGGGGAAUUCCGAGUGUAGAGGUGAAAUUCGC